rnacentral:lncRNA from 1 species
UAAAAUAGUAAGAAACUUUAAAUUAUUUUCAAUUUAAUUUUUAAAGAUACUUUGAGAGGUGAUAGGAUGGAAAAGAAAAUAUGAUAUGCAUAAAUUGAAGGUCAUGAAUAUUUCUCUAAAAUUUAAAGGGAAGAAGAUACUAAAAAUAUUAUUAUUUGUUGUCCUAUUUCAUUUCAUUACAAUAAUACUAGUGUAUAAAUCCAGAACUAUUAGGUUGUUGUAAUAAAAUUUAAACAAAAACUCAAAUUAUUGAGGGUAAAAAUACAAUAUCCAAAUGACAUACGAUAACACAUAAAAUAUAUUAGGUGUUUGUGUCUUAUCUGGGGACUUUCAAUUAAAAACUAAAUUUGUAAACUCUUAAAGGAAUUUAUUUAUCUUCUCGGAUUAAGCAAUUCACGCACUAUUAUACAUUUACAAUUAGUGCGGUUCAUGCAUUUUCCUCUAUAAGGAGGUCGGCAAUAAAUUUUGUUUUCACAAUCUGAAUCAUCAAAACAUUUGAUUUUCUCUGCUGCAAUUAAAAAAACACUAUAAGGUUAUUAAAAUGAAAAAAAAAUACAAUGUAUGAAAUAAAAGAGAACAUUUAAAAUGAAUGAACAAAAGUUACCUUUAAUUUUCGUUCCAAUCAAAAACAGAGAGACUAACAUAAUCAUAACAUAAGCAAAUUUUACUAUUUGUACCAUAUUUCUCCUCGUUAUUUUUAUAAAUUAUUUUGUAACUUUGUAGUUUAUGAAUAAGAGUGGAUCCUCGCCUUUUAUAAUUUUUACUUGUG